CAGAAAUCUUUAAGUAAUAAAAUUGCAAGUCGUACGGGCUCUUCUAAAGCAGUGGCAGACGGGUGAGUAAUGCAUGGGAAUCUACCGUUCUCUACGGAAUAACUCAGGGAAACUUGUGCUAAUACCGUAUACGCCCUUUUGGGGAAAAAUUUAUCGGAGAAUGAUGAGCCCAUGUUGGAUUACCUAGUUGGUAGGGUAAAGGCCUACCAAGGCGACCAUCCAUACCUGGUCUGAGAGGAUGAUCACCCACACUGGGACUGAGACACGGCCCAGACUCCUACGGGAGGAACUGGUGGGGAAUAUUGGACAAUGGGCGCAAGCCUGAUCCAUCCAUGCCGCGUGAGUGAUAAAAGCCCUAGGGUUGUAAAGCUCUUUUACCCGUGAAGAUAAAGACAGUCACCGGAGAAAAAACCCCGGCUAACUUCGUGCCAGCAGCCCCGGUAAUACAAAACGGGCUAGGGUUGUUCGGAUUUACUGGGCGUUAAACGCACGUAAGCGGACUUUUAAAGUUCGGGUGAAAUCCCCGGGCUCAACCCCCUGAACUGCCUUUUGUACUGGGAACCCCUGAAUUUCGAAAAAGUUAAUUGAAUUGCCAGUGCUCACGUGAAAUUAAUGUUAUAUUUGCUUAGGAGCGCCUCGGAAAAGCGAGCCUCACGGCUGCUUACAUUUACUCGAUUUGCGAGUGGACUGCCAGGGAAACUGAUUCAGAUUCCUGGCAACCCAUUCCCACACAGCGUUAGUUAUGGCUCAGUGAGUCUACACUCUUCAGUGGCGUCCCUGGCGAUAUACAACUACUUCCAGCGGGAGAACCGCGCGCAAUCAUAUUACUCUUACGAAUAUUUCAGGACGUGCCCGCUAACAAAGCGGGAUCCGUGUGUUGUAUAUCCGGGAAAUUCACCCCUGAGACAUUACAGUCGCUGUAAGUGGGCGCUUUAUGGUCCGAUUGGAGACCACUUAUGCCAUUCUCCGCUUGUAAGUUACACGGGCGGUCGUGCUAGAUUACCCAGGCUGCUUUCUUAGGUGUGCAUACUACGCAGCGAGCAGCCUCUUAACUUCAUGCCUUUAUUUGUCCGCAUGAUGUCGCUAGUGCCAUGUGAGAUGUCACGUGGUUCUCCACUACGAAGACUC
rnacentral:rRNA from 1 species